AGCGAACGCUGGCGGCAGGCCUAACACAUGCAAGUCGAACGAACCUUUCGGGGUUAGUGGCGGACGGGUGAGUAACACGUGGGAACGUGCCUUUAGGUUCGGAAUAACUCAGGGAAACUUGUGCUAAUACCGAAUGUGCCCUUCGGGGGAAAGAUUUAUCGCCUUUAGAGCGGCCCGCGUCUGAUUAGCUAGUUGGUUGAGGUAAUGGCUCACCAAGGCGACGAUCAGUAGCUGGUCUGAGAGGAUGAUCAGCCACAUUGGGACUGAGACACGGCCCAAACUCCUACGGGAGGCAGCAGUGGGGAAUCGUGCGCAAUGGGCGAAAGCCUGACGCAGCCAUGCCGCGUGAAUGAUGAAGGUCUUAGGAUUGUAAAAUUCUUUCAACGGGGACGAUAAUGACGGUACCCGGAGAAGAAGCCCCGGCUAACUUCGUG
rnacentral:rRNA from 1 species